GCAUCAUCACUGACUGGACACUAAAUAGCACAAUCUGUGUUUAAAUUAUGAUAUAAAAGUAUAAAAUGUACUAAUAGAAACUUUUUAUAGGACUAAAAUGUAACAAUUCAAAGUUAAAAAUGCUGUUUUUCUGAACGGAGUCUGGUUCAGUUUGUGUCCUGAUGCUUCAUGUUGUGUGAAUACUGGAUUCAAGAUGAUCUUUGGAGCUGGAACCAGAUUAAACAUUGACUCCAAUGACGAGUACAAGCCGUCCUACUUCAAACUAUCAGAGGGGGACACCUCGGUGUGUCUGGCUGCUGGAUUCAGCAGACACAAUGCACCCGUGAUACAAUAUUCUGGCCUGUUCGCGACCAACAAGACAGUUGCCCAGAUCUCUGAAGGCGAAGGCGUGUACAACCAGGUGACUCUGCUGACCACGGAGGUUCUGGAGAAACAAUGUGAUGAGGCUGAGCAGGAGUCGUGUGGUUCGUGUGAGGAAACGUGUGAGGAAACGAUGCAAUCAGAUCCGAAGGUGAACCUCAUGGCUCUGACCACCAUCGGACUCAGGCUGCUCUUCAUCAAGGCCGUCGUCUUCAACGUCCUGAUGACGUGGAGACUCUGGAUCAGUCAGUGAACUGCAGAGAGAAACACGCUGCUGGACUCACAAAACGACUCGAUGACGUCUUUUCUUUUUUUUUUUCCUGACUCAUUCGUCUGUAAAAUAUCACAUCAGCUGUUUGUUGUUGUUUAUAUGUAACACAUGUCAUGGUUUUUCUGUUCUCGUGAAUUCCUGCUGAUGUAAAUAUAAAUGUGAUAUAUUUCCUGUGUGACGAUGUUCAAAUAAAGACUGAAAUAAAACUGAA